UACGGAGGGAGCUAGCGUUGUUCGGAAUUACUGGGCGUAAAGAGCUCGUAGGUGGUUUGUCGCGUUGUUCGUGAAAACUCACAGCUUAACUGUGGGCGUGCGGGCGAUACGGGCAGACUGGAGUACUGCAGGGGAGACUGGAAUUCCUGGUGUAGCGGUGGAAUGCGCAGAUAUCAGGAGGAACACCGGUGGCGAAGGCGGGUCUCUGGGCCGUAACUGACGCUGAGGUGCGAAAGCGUGGGGAGCAAACAGG
rnacentral:rRNA from 1 species